rnacentral:rRNA from 1 species
AGUAACGCGUGGGUAACCUGCCCUUAAGUCUGGGAUACCAUUUGGAAACAGAUGCUAAUACCGGAUAAAAGCUACUUUCGCAUGAAAGAAGUUUAAAAGGCGGCGUAAGCUGUCGCUAAAGGAUGGACCUGCGAUGCAUUAGCUAGUUGGUAAGGUAACGGCUUACCAAGGCGAUGAUGCAUAGCCGAGUUGAGAGACUGAUCGGCCACAUUGGGACUGAGACACGGCCCAAACUCCUACGGGAGGCAGCAGAG